rnacentral:snRNA from 1 species
UGAUGAGAGGGCAACCGGCUCUGACAUCUGUCACCCCACUGAUCACCAGGAUUCAUUUGGCUGAUCUGACUGGCUAGCAAGGUGUCCCCUUCCUCCCUCACCUCUCCGGGUGUGUCUCUGCUGAAGCUGUGAAGCAGCAAGCUCUGAGAGGAGGAUAACCACCCUGAUGGAGGAGGACCCGUUCCUCAGUCAAGGGCAUAUAGUAGAUGCAUCCCCCUGCUAGAACCUCAAAUAAGUUCUCAAAGAAGAACAUGAGACCCUUGGCGUACAUAGAAGAUGCAAAGUGUAAUAGAGAACAACAAAUUAAUGAUAGACAUAGGUAGUUGAGUCAU